UACAGAGGGUGCAAGCGUUGUUCGGAAUUAUUGGGCGUAAAGGGAGUGUAGGCUGUUUGAUAAGUCUUCUGUGAAAUCUACGGGCUUAGCCUGUAACGUGCAGAGGAAACUGUCAGACUUGAGUGUCGGAGAGGAUAGGGGAAUACCCGGUGUAGAGGUGAAAUUCGUAGAUAUUCGCAAGAACACCAGUGGCGAAGGCGGCUCACUGGCCCGGUACUGACGCUGAGGUGCGAAAGCGUGGGGAGCAAACAGG
rnacentral:rRNA from 1 species